GCUAUAGUGCUCCCUUGGUAAGGGGCUCAUCUGGCCGUCCACGAUUCUCCAUAACCGAAGAACAGUUGCGUUUUCUGAUAGAAUAUAACUUUUCUACAAGACAAAUGGCAGAAAUCUUGUGUGUGUCCAGGCGAACUGUGAAACAUUGUUUAAGAGAAUACAGAAUUUCACUUAGAGACAGAUACACUGAUCUGUCCGACUCUGACCUUGAUAACAGAGUUAGAGAAUUAGUUGGAGGAAAUGAUGAACUUGGUGCAGCAUGCAGCGGCACAGGGUCCGACAAAGUUUAAUCAGGACUAAUCCAGCAGGAGCAGCCCAGAGAGUCACCACACGUAUACUGCACAGAAGAGUCUAUCAGGUUGCUGGGCCAAAUUCCUUAUGGCAUUUGGACGGUAAUCAUAAGUUAAUCAGGUGGAGGAUUGUCAUGCAUGGUGGGAUUGACGGGUACAGCAGGCUUGUUGUAUUCUUAAAGGCUUCUUCCAACAAUCGAAGUGACACAGUUUUCCAGAGUUUUGUAGAAGCCAUUGGCCAAUAUGGUUUACCUUCAAGAGUCCGUUGUGAUAAUGGAGGGGAGAAUAAUGCAGUCUGCCUAUUUAUGAAUGUCUUCCGGGGAUUCACCAGAGGAAGUGCUCUAAGAGGAAGGAGCACACACAACCAGAGAAUUGAGGGAAUGUUGGGGGGACGUUUGGUGGG